CCUCAUUAUACACACGCAACAGUUGCAGUGGAGAGAGAGAAAACGAGGGAGAGAGGGAUGCAGAGAGCUGCCUGCUACGCCACCGCCGACUCUCGCUGCUACCGUCGACUAUAACGACGACCACCACUGAGCCGUGCAGAAGGCUCGGGAAGACGACAAGGGGGACCCUCUAGAGGCUAUAUAUAAAAAAUAUAUUUGGAAGGCAAUGAGCUAGACAACUUAGUGAGGCAGUGAGUGUGUGUGGGCAGGUGGCAGCUAGUUAGGCACAGAGCAUUAUUUUUGUAAAAAAAUUGUAUAAAUAUUUAUUUUUUGGAAUAUAAUAAAAUUAACUUCUGUA